UACAGAGGUCUCAAGCGUUGUUCGGAUUCAUUGGGCGUAAAGGGUGCGUAGGUGGCGUCGUAAGUCAGGUGUGAAAUCUCGGGGCUCAACCCCAAAACUGCACUUGAUACUGCGAUGCUCGAGUACUGGAGAGGAGAUUGGAAUUUACGGUGUAGCAGUGAAAUGCGUAGAUAUCGUAAGGAAGACCAGUGGCGAAGGCGAAUCUCUGGACAGUUACUGACACUGAGGCACGAAGGCCAGGGGAGCAAACGGG
rnacentral:rRNA from 1 species